CCUACGGGAGGCUGCAGUGAGGAAUAUUGGUCAAUGGACGCAAGUCUGAACCAGCCAUGCCGCGUGCAGGAAGACGGCUCUAUGAGUUGUAAACUGCUUUUGUACGAGGGUAAACGCAGAUACGCGUAUCUUUCUGAAAGUAUCGUACGAAUAAGGAUCGGCUAACUCCGUGCCAGCAGCCGCGGUACUACGGAGGAUUCAAGCGUUAUCCGGAUUUAUUGGGUUUAAAGGGUGCGUAGGCGGGCGGAUAAGUUAGAUGUGAAAUCCCGAGGCUCAACUUGGGCAUUGCCUCUGAUACUGUUCGGCUAGAGAGUAGUAGCGGUAGGCGGAAUGUAAGGUGUAGCGGUGAAAUGCAUAGAUAUCACGCAGAACCCCGAUUGCGAAGGCAGCAGGCCGGCUUCCGACUGACGCUGAAGCACGAAAGCGUGGGGAUCGAACAGGAUUAGAUACCCUGGUAGUC
rnacentral:rRNA from 1 species